UGCAUUUUUAUGUAAAAAUGUAUAUUAGAAUAGUAAAUUAGCCCCUGUUUGGUACUCAUUUUUGGAGCCAAAAAUGCAUUUUUUCCGUCACAUCAGCACACAAUUUUUGACUUCUACACUCUAAUGGGGGACCCGCGAUAUGAUGUUUAAAAUGCAUUUUCAUCUAAAAAAUGUGCACCAAACGGACUCUUAAUGUGAAAUGUGUGGUUG
rnacentral:lncRNA from 1 species